rnacentral:rRNA from 1 species
AUUGAACGCUGGCGGCAGGCCUAACACAUGCAAGUCGAACGAGUGGCGGACGGGUGAGUAAUGUCUGGGAAACUGCCUGAUGGAGGGGGAUAACUACUGGAAACGGUAGCUAAUACCGCAUACCAUCGGAUGUGCCCAGAUGGGAUUAGCUAGUAGGUUGAGUAAUGGCUCACCUAGGCGACGAUCCCUAGAUGGGCUGAGAGGAUGACCAGCAACCUAUGAACGGAGACACGGUACAGACUCCUACGGGAGGCAGCAGUGGGGAAUAUUGCACACUGGACGCAAGCCUGAUGCAGCCAUGCCGCGUGUGUUAAGAAGGCCUUCGGGUUUUAACGCACUUUCAGCAAGGAGGCGGUACUCGCAGAAGAAGCACAGGCUAACUACGUGCCAGCAGCCGCGGUAAUAC